CUGACGAGUGGCGGACGGGUGAGUAAUGUCUGGGAAACUGCCUGAUGGAGGGGGAUAACUACUGGAAACGGUGGCUAAUACCGCAUAACGUCGCAAGACCAAAGAGGGGGACCUUCGGGCCUCUUGCCAUCAGAUGUGCCCAGAUGGGAUUAGCUAGUUGGUGAGGUAACGGCUCACCAAGGCGACGAUCCCUAGCUGGUCUGAGAGGAUGACCAGCCACACUGGAACUGAGACACGGUCCAGACUCCUACGGGAGGCAGCAGUGGGGAAUAUUGCACAAUGGGCGCAAGCCUGAUGCAGCCAUGCCGCGUGUAUGAAGAAGGCCUUCGGGUUGUAAAGUACUUUCAGCGGGGAGG
rnacentral:rRNA from 1 species